rnacentral:misc_RNA from 1 species
UACGUAGGAUCCAAGCGUUGUCCGGAUUUACUGGGCGUAAAGGGUGCGUAGGCGGCACGGCAAGUCUCAUGUGAAAUCUCCCGGCUCAACUGGGAGGGGUCAUGGGAUACUACCGGGCUUGAGGGCAGUAGAGGAGAGCGGAAUUCCGGGAGUAGUGGUGAAAUGCGUAGAUACCCGGAGGAACACCCGUGGCGAAAGCGGCUCUCUGGACUGUACCUGACGCUGAGGCACGAAAGCGUGGGGAGCAAACCGG